UGGCUCUCGCAUCGAUGAAGAACGCAGCGAAAUGCGAUAAGUAAUGUGAAUUGCAGAAUUCAGUGAAUCAUCGAAUCUUUGAACGCACCUUGCACCCUCUGGUAUUCCGGAGGGUACACCUGUUUGAGUGUCGUGAAAUUCUCAACCCUUGCUCCUUUGUUGGAGUUCAAGGGAUUGGACUUGGGGGUCUUUGGCGGUCCUUGGUAGAUCGCCUCCCCUUAAAUGCAGUUGUGCGACUCGUUGUUUCGUAACCUUCGGUGUGAUAAUUAUCUACGUCGUCGGUCUAUCGUUACUUUGAAGAGACGUGCUUUCUAACCGUCCUUAUGGACAAUUCAUGAAACUUGACCUCAAAUCAGGUGGGACUACCCGCUGA
rnacentral:misc_RNA from 1 species